CAAGAAGCAAGGCAGACGAGAGGUAGGAAAGAAGCAGAAAGACGGAGAAGGGUAGGAAUCCAUGCCUGAAAAAGAGAACGAAGAAAAAAGGAAGAGCGAGGGAGAGGAGCGCCUGGAGCGUCGUCUGCUCAGGAUGACAGGCAGUCACAGAGGCCGAGCCACGGCGCAGGCAAAAAUAAAUGUGACUGGUCUGGAGUAAUUGCAACGACAAGAAAUCACUACAGACUUUAUUGAAGACUAGAGCGGAUAACAACUCUAUUAUUAUUUAAUUGUUUAUUUAUCUAUUUAUUACCACUGUAUGACUUUUAGAUCAUUCAAUUCUGUGUUUGUAUGAUUUGUGUAAAUCGUGUAUUUAUUUAAAGUAUCCUCCAGACCACCCAAGAAGGAUGGGCCCUGCUGAGUCUGGUUCCUCUCAAGGUUUCUUCCUGUAAUUUUCAGGGAGUUUUUCCUUGCCACAGUCGCCCUCGGCUUGCUCAACAGGGGUUUUUGUAUCUGUUGGUCCUGGAUUUUGUAAAGUUGCUUUGAGACAAUGUAUAUUGUAAAAAGCGCUAUAUAAAUAAAGUUGACUUGACUUGA